rnacentral:rRNA from 1 species
UACGAAGGGGGCUAGCGUUGUUCGGAAUUACUGGGCGUAAAGGGCGCGUAGGCGGCUUAUCAAGUCAGGCGUGAAAGCCCCGGGCUUAACCUGGGAACUGCGUUUGAGACUGUUAGGCUUGAGUACCGGAGAGGUAGGUGGAAUUCCCAGUGUAGAGGUGAAAUUCGUAGAUAUUGGGAAGAACACCAGUGGCGAAGGCGGCCUACUGGACGGUAACUGACGCUGAGGCGCGAAAGCGUGGGGAGCAAACAGG